AUAUCCCUAACAAAAUGCAUUGCAUGUGGAACAGGAAAUACUACAGAGAUUCAUCUCUUAACUGAAAGCAACUUUUGGAUAAAAAGAAGAAAUAAGCUUACUAGAAUUUUAAGUAAAAGAAAAAAUGCCUGGGAGUUUGAAGGCCCUUUGGCAGGUUACCAAAGACUUGCUACUCUUAUGCUGAAUUUUCUGGAAGGGAACAGCAGAGGACAGCUCACAAGGAGCAGGGUGUCAAAUUCCUGAUGUCCAUAAUCGUAUCGGCAAGCAGUUGGAGAGCAAAUUUCUUCCUACUGGGCAAUCAGCUUGCUUCUCAGUUCAUAAAUGAUUCAGCAGAGUCCCAAACUCGGAGACUAUUGGAGCGGAACAAGGCAUUUCAGAUAUUCAUAUGGACUACAGGCUUAACUUGCAUAUAACUGGUGAAGUAGUACCACAGUUGACUAACUGCUGUGAAACAGUAUCUAAACAGAGUAUGAGGUGAUCUAUCAUUAAACUU